GGGGUCGUGGGCUAGCAUGGUAUCCACUACUUGCUUGCAGCGCUCGAGGUCGCCGGUUCAAAUCCGGCCGACCCCACCA
rnacentral:tRNA from 1 species